AUUGAACGCUGGCGGCAUGCCUUACACAUGCAAGUCGAACGGCAGCACGGGUGCUUGCCCCUGGUGGCGAGUGGCGAACGGGUGAGUAAUACAUCGGAACAUGUCCUGUAGUGGGGGAUAGCCCGGCGAAAGCCGGAUUAAUACCGCAUACGAUCUACGGAUGAAAGCGGGGGACCUUCGGGCCUCGCGCUAUAGGGUUGGCCGAUGGCUGAUUAGCUAGUUGGUGGGGUAAAGGCCUACCAAGGCGACGAUCAGUAGCUGGUCUGAGAGGACGACCAGCCACACUGGGACUGAGACACGGCCCAGACUCCUACGGGAGGCAGCAGUGGGGAAUUUUGGACCAUGGGCGAAAGCCUGAUCCAGCAAUGCCGCGUGUGUGAAGAAGGCCUUCGGGUUGUAAAGCACUUUUGUCCGGAAAGAAAUCCUUGGCUCUAAUACAGUCGGGGGAUGACGGUACCGGAAGAAUAAGCACCGGCUAACUACGUG
rnacentral:rRNA from 1 species